rnacentral:rRNA from 1 species
CCUACGGGAGGCAGCAGCAAGGAAUUUUCCGCAAUGGGCGAAAGCCUGACGGAGCAACGCCGCGUGCGGGAUGACGCCCUUCGGGGUGUAAACCGCUGUUCGUGGGGACGAAGCACUGACGGUACCCACGGAGGAAGGCCCGGCUAACUACGUGCCAGCAGCCGCGGUAAU